rnacentral:rRNA from 1 species
UCCCCGCGAGUGUUCGGGCGUCAAACCCCCGGCGCGGAAUGAAAGUGAACGGAGGUGGGAGCCCCCGAACAGGGGCGCACCAUCGACCGAUCCUGAUGUCUUCGGAUGGAUUUGAGUAGGAGCGCGGCCGUUGGGACCCGAAAGAUGGUGAACUAUGCCUGGGUAGGGUGAAGCCAGAGGAAACUCUGGUGGAGGCUCGCAGCGGUUCUGACGUGCAAAUCGAUCGUCGAACCUGGGCAUAGGGGCGAAAGACUAAUCGAACCAUCUAGUAGCUGGUUCCUGUCGAAGUUUCCCUCAGGAUAGCAGUCGCGCGGGCGGUUUUAUGAGGUAAAGCGAAUGAUUAGAGGCCUUGGGGACGCAACGUCCUUAACCUAUUCUCAAACUUUAAAUAUGUAAGAAGCCCCUGUUGCUCCGGUGAACGGGGGCGUGCGAACGCGGCGCGGCUAGUGGGCCAUUUUUGGUAAGCAGAACUGGCGAUGCGGGAUGAACCGAACGCGGGGUUAAGGUGCCGGAAUGCACGCUCAUCAGACACCACAAAAGAUGUCAAUCCAUCCGGACAGCCGGACG